AUGCCUAAGGCUACCAGUAGAAAGAAAAAGGAAAUCCUUUGUUUAGGAAGUAAUGAGAAUCUGGUGCAGGGGGAUAAAGACCUUUUAUUAUAUAUAUAUGCCACUUCCUUUCAUAAGAAUUUGUUUGGUCCUUCUGAAUGUCUAAAGAAUAUUACCUUGGAUAUUGAUAUGCAAUCUGUUUUAAAUGAUUUAGACAAAGAGUUGUUGGAUAGAAAUUUUACUCUAGAAGAAAUUAGAGUGUCUGUUUACAGUAUGAAACAUAACACUGCUAGCAACAGAGUUUUAUCAGCACUUGGUGGGACUUAUUAA
rnacentral:rRNA from 1 species